UCCAGAUCUGCUCUGCCACCCCAGCUGUUAUCACAGAUCCGUGCGCUUUAUACGCAUGUGCCUCCCGCGUCCUGUCCGUCUUACAUAACACAUCCAGUGCAGCAGAGGACACGAGAAAAUGCGACCCCAGCCCUCCCAGCCGAAAUCGGGCGAAGGGGUAGAAGAUUGGCGAACUUACCUGAGAAACUGAGACUCAAGAUCGUGAGGAUGUGUGACUAGGACCGAAAGCAGAUUUCCAGGUGGAGUCUUUGGAUUUUUUAAAAGACAACAGUAAUUGGAUCUACUUGAAAAAUUAAGUGAAUUGAUUUGUUUGGAACACUCUUUGACCAAUUCUUUA
ensembl:lncRNA